CCUACGGGUGGCAGCAGUGGGGAAUAUUGGACAAUGGGGGGAACCCUGAUCCAGCCAUGCCGCGUGUGUGAAGAAGGCCCUCGGGUUGUAAAGCACUUUCAGUGAGGAAGAACGCCUGGUGGUUAAUACCCAUCAGGAAAGACAUCACUCACAGAAGAAGCACCGGCUAACUCCGUGCCAGCAGCCGCGGUAAUACGGAGGGUGCGAGCGUUAAUCGGAAUUACUGGGCGUAAAGCGCGCGUAGGUGGCUUGAUAAGCGGUUGUGAAAGCCCCGGGCUCAACCUGGGAACGGCAUCCGGAACUGUCAAGCUAGAGUGCAGGAGAGGAAGGUAGAAUUCCCGGUGUAGCGGUGAAAUGCGUAGAGAUCGGGAGGAAUACCAGUGGCGAAGGCGGCCUUCUGGACUGACACUGACACUGAGGUGCGAAAGCGUGGGUAGCAAACAGGAUUAGAUACCCUUGUAGUC
rnacentral:rRNA from 1 species